UAAGGAAUAUUGGUCAAUGGAGGCAACUCUGAACCAGCCAUGCCGCGUGCAGGAAGACAGCCCUACGGGUCGUAAACUGCUUUUGUACCGGAAUAAACCCUUUUACGUGUAAGAGGCUGAAUGUACGGUAAGAAUAAGGAUCGACUAACUCCGUGC
rnacentral:rRNA from 1 species